UAUUCUUUUGCUCCUUCAAUUGUUUUUUCGAGCCAUUGCGUUGUCGACUAGAUCCGAGUGAGUGAAGGAUUCCGAAUCCGAAAGAUCUCACGAGAGAAAGUGAUAAUACAAUUCUAUAAUAUAAUCUACCGAGACGACGUAAGCGAAAGGACAAGCAUUUUCCAAAGCCAAGUCUAAGGAGUAGACCUGAGAGAGAAAACUAUUGCUCGAGUUUUCCAGAGACGACUACUUAGAACUUGGAUAUAAUAUCUGUACCUAAAACAGAGACAGUCUUUUUAGAAAUCUAAGUGAGCAGUGCACAUUUUACAUACAUCAUUGAACGAAAUCUCUAUGCAGGCUAAAACGUCAGAAGUUCUUUAGACGAGCUUACUAGGAUAGGAAACCAAUACUUGACUGUGUGGCAUAACUGAAGGAAUCAGCGCUCGAUUAGAAGAUAUUCUGUAUCGCCAAGGAAAGACUGUGUGACGGAUUCUUAAUUUGACUAGUUAAAGAUGUCGCUACAAGAGAUGAAGGAGAGAGUUCGACAAACAGUCUCAUCAAAAAUAUGUGAUAUGUUAGAAACAGAAACAGCUGAUAUGUCUGACACUGAGGCAAUGGGUGUAUAUGCGGUCUUGGAUCCAGUGUCCAUCAAUAAUAUGAUGGAAGAUGAAAAAAAGAUGAAAUUUUUAAAUGCAAUGGUGCAGGCCAUGGCUCCUCCUAAGAAAUCUAAUCGGAGAGUUAUAAACCCUCGGGCGCUUAAUGCUCAGAAAAAGACAAAAGCUGAAACUAAAGAGGCAUGAGACAUUGUAAAAUUUAAGUCACUGUGUUGUAAAAGUAUAAACUUUUUUUUUCAAUUUCAAUAUGAAUUUUAUAGAAUACUUCGUUGGCAAAGUUAAAAUGCCAUUAUUAAAGUUUUUAUCAAAGCCACGCUAUUAUAAUAAUGACGGUUUUAUUUACGUUAUUUUAUUAAGUUAACUGCAUGAUGCAACACAGUGUCUUAGCUAUGCGUUUUAUUUUUUAUGAAAACAGAAUUAAUUGAAUAUAUAUUUCUAACUGGAUUGCAGUCAAUUAAAUCUCGGAACGACCCGGACAUAGAUUUUAUAUAGAUAACUAGAAAAUAGAUUUAUAUUCAUACAUUUUAUAUUUAAAAAAUUUGAAAAAAUUCAUAAAUUAGAUGGAAAAUAUGAUUUGUAACUUAUUUGCAUUUAGUGUGUAGACAGUUAUUGACUUGAUGUGUGGAUUCUCGAAUAUUCGUAACUUAAUAAUUUAUUGCGACAGAUGUAUGAUAUAAUUCUUUUUUGGAAAUAAACUAGCCAAGAAAACCGUUGUCAAAAAGAAAUGCAGGAAGCUAUGACAUUCAAAGUACGCUACACAUUACACAAUUCACGAACAAUCUGUUCAAUGCAAACUGAAUUCUGUUCUCGAAUCGCAUCAUACGGCGAAUUAUAUCUGCAAUUUACUAUACUGAAUAUAGUGUAAAAUAUAAUUGCUUACGAAAUCA